rnacentral:rRNA from 1 species
GAGGGCAAGUCUGGUGCCAGCAGCCGCGGUAAUUCCAGCUCCAAUAGCGUAUAUUAAAAUUGUUGCAGUUAAAAAGCUCGUAGUUGAAUUUCAGCUGCUCCGCACUUUCUUCCCGUUAUGGAGGUUGUGCGCCGUGGCUUAUUUCGGACUGUGUUAUGCACUGUCCGGAUGUUUACUUUGAGAAAAUUAGAGUGCUCAAAGCAGGCUUUUGGCUUGAAUAGUUUAGCAUGGAAUAAUAAAGUAGGACUUUGGUUCUAUUUUGUUGGUUUUAGGUACCAAAGUAAUGGUUAAUAGGAGCAGUUGGGGGUAUUCGUAUUUAACUGUCAGAGGUGAAAUUCUUAGAUUUGUUAAAGACGAACUACUGCGAAAGCAUUUGCCAAGGAUGUUUCCAUUAAUCAAGAACGAAAGUUAGGGGAUCGAAGACGAUCAGAUACCGUCGUAGUCCUAACCAUAAACUAUGCCGACUAGAGAUUGGAGGUCGUCAGUUUUUACGACUCCUUCAGCACCUUGAGAG